UUAAGGAGGAAACCCGGAUUUUUCUUGCAAUUGUGACCUACAAUGGAGAAUACCCUAUGCGCUCAUUCCCACUCCCAGGUUGCAAAGGGAGAAGGGAUGAAGUAGAACAAAACCCUAUCCUCAAAAUUCAGAGCCUCCUGCAGUCCAGGGCUCCCAAGAGGGUGGAGUUAGGAGACCGGACUUUCAAUAUCUCUUUGCUCCACCUGGUGAUUACUAAGUGCAGCCAUUAGGGAGGGAGCCUAGGGAAAGGUCACUAAUGAAUAAUUAAUCCACCUUCUCACCUUUUAGUCCCAGGCCCUGAAACUGCUGGGCUUAGAAGAGGACCUUGCUCCCAGGUCUGUGCCCUGGACUGUCAGCGCACCCUUGUAGCUUGAUCCACCCGUCUCUGCUUCACUUUCUCUAAGCAGGAGCCAUUUCCCAUUUGGAAAACCUCACAAGGUCCCACAGUUGUUCAAGGAACAAGCAGCCUCCAGGAUCGCGAGAGAGCCCCACCUCCCCCGGCCCUGGACCGAGAGCCCAGCAUCCUCCUCUUCUUAUCCGAAGCUCGAAUGUUGAAUUUCCCUGAGGGCAGAGGAGGGACCCCAGAGAUGGAAACCGAAGAGCUGCAAGGUCUCACUGCCCAUUUUCCCAGCAACACCGCGGAGUUUUUAAAGUCUUUGAAAACCCAUCACAGAGAGGUCCCAAAUUUAUAACACUGGGCAUCUGGGGCACUCCAGGACUCCACAUGCUGCCUUUGCAAAACUUCCAUGGGAGCAUAAUAGGCCCUCAGCAACACAUUUAGCCUCCCUCCCCAAAGCCUUUUUAAAAUUUUCCAUAGUAUUCAAAACAUCUUGUGGUAGUAUGCAAAUAACUUCAGAUAUACCAAAGAGUAACUGUGACUCAUUAUAAAAUAAAUGGUAGGGACUUGAAUUAUGUCAGAAUUCAAGUAAGGAAACUACUUUAAAUGAGCCUCACUUUUUAUGAUGCUAGGCCCCUAAUGUAAAAUUAUUUCUUGGCAAGACAACUUCUUAGAGGAUAAAACCACCGAACAACAACAAAACACUUCAUAGGACUCUUGUUUAAACUCUACUGAACAGUCCCCUGAUCCAAUUUAACAAGAUAUUUCUUCUCUGCUAAGAAGAAGAGUAAAUUGUGCUUCAUGGCCUAAAAUCUUACAUGUAGUAUCAAAUAGCAACCGAAUGCCUAUGUGACUAACUCUAAACUGACCAAAUGGUUACUUAAUUAAAGACUGACUCAAAAGACAAAAAAAAAAAAAAUGAUUUCUAUUCUAUUCUAGGAUUUGGCAAUGUAUGCACAAAAUACUCUUGUGUGUACUUACUUUUCAGUUCCUAUCCCCAAAUGGUUUCUAUCCUAGAAAGGAUUUAAAUGUUAUUCAAAGACAAUGAUGAAAUGAAAUGAAAUAGCUCUCCAUUGACAAGUAAGCUGAAAGCAAGAAAAUGUUUUAGUGAGUAGUAAUUCUGGUUUAACUGCUGUAUAAGUGGUUCAGGUUCUCUCUCUCUCUCUCUCUCUCUCUCUCUCUCUCUCUCUCUCUCUCUCUC